rnacentral:tRNA from 1 species
GGGGUAUAGCUCAGCUGGAAGAGCAUUUGCUUUGCAAGCAAGGGGUCAUCGGUUCGAAUCCGAUUAUCUCC